GGGCCAGUAAAGGUUUCGACAGGGGUCUUGCAGCUGGAGAAGCUAUCCGCACGUCAUGCGUUAAAUGACAACCUAAAUAUAAACGCUGAUAAUAAAGUUCAGUACGCAUUCGCAGCGUAAGCUGUGAGUGACGUCGCCCUCGGGCGGCUUGUCUCGCCCAUCGCACUCACACGGUGGGGCCGGGGCAUCAUGAUUGUGAGAAACGACGCGCAUUAAGCUUUGCGUGCGUGGGCGUACCAUGAAGCUACCGAUUUAGGCAGAUUGUUCGUUUUCUGCUUAAGGAGGGAACAGGGAGUUUCGGGCUUCCAAGAAAAUGAACUAUGAUAGUAGAAGGACAGGGAAUGGGCUUUUGGACACGGGUUCGACUCCCGUCUAGUCCACGU
rnacentral:tmRNA from 1 species